AACCAUCUCAGCCUGAGCGCUCCCCUGAGGGCUACCCUCAUACAGGCAGUUGGGUGGGCACAAGCCCUCAAAAGAGCCAACGGCAAGAAGAUCCCCCAAAGAAGGAAAAGGCACCCAGCCAUGGCAGGAGGGCGGCACAACGUGCACUGGGAGAGAAGGCCAUGGAGUUCCUGCUGAACCACUCAACAGCUUAAAAUACAACCAGCCCCUCUCCCUACUGGACCAGCUGCCGGGGAGGGCUGAAACUCUAGCCUCCCCCCAGAUGGGGCUCUGCAACCAGGCCAGGAGCUGUGGUGCACCAACUGGCUACAAGUGGGCAGCAGGAAAGCAGCAUGGAGAGGGGCCACAGUGAAGAGCAACCCCCAGCCACAAGCAGAGGAGCUGCCUGAGCAGAGGGCAGGUAAGCCAGGAAGCUUAAGGAAGCCAGAGACCCUAUACUCCAAGGAUGAACUGACUAGAGGCGUUCGUCAGUCACUGUCCGUUAUGCCCACCCCUGACUCCACCCAAGCCAGCA